UACGAAGGGGGCUAGCGUUGCUCGGAAUUACUGGGCGUAAAGGGCGCGUAGGCGCCUUCUAAGUCAGACGUGAAAUCCCUCGGCUCAACCGAGGAACUGCGUCUGAUACUGGAAGGCUUGAAUCCGGGAGAGGGAUGUGGAAUUCCAGGUGUAGCGGUGAAAUGCGUAGAUAUCUGGAGGAACACCGGUGGCGAAGGCGGCAUCCUGGACCGGUAUUGACGCUGAGGCGCGAAAGCUAGGGGAGCAAACGGG
rnacentral:rRNA from 1 species